CCCUUACUUUUCUAUGGUCUCACACUUUGCCCUUCUCAGUCUUCCGUCUUCUCUCUUCAUGGAUUUACCAAUCCCCAGUGUUGAGCCACGAGAAACGAUGGCUCGAAGUUCCAACAGUUAUAGACCUAUAAUUUUGCUCUUCUUCCUCAAUCCCCACACCUUCUCCAAACUAUUCCACCUCCAAUUCUCUCUCUUUUUUCUCUUCUCAUUAUUUUUUAGUAACCCAUCUCUUUUUUUUUUUUUUACCUCCCUUUGGAUUGAACUAUCCUGUUGUUUCUUAAUUUGUUUUUUUUUUCAAUUGCAGGUGCCAAGAAUUUGCUUCUGGUGUUGCUGAGAUUAUGGGUGUUGCUUCGCUUUUCUCCCUCUGUACAAAUGAUGUGGUUGCUUCAGAUGAUGGGGUUGUGUGAGGGCUUCGAUCUGUUGGUCUUGGCGUGUUCCAAGAGAAGGGUUGGGUUGUUUAAGUUCUUAUCCUGAAAAUGAGAGUAACUAGCUGAUUUCCUCAAAUGGCUCUUCCAUUUUCAUUCUCUUCUUCCUUUUCUUCACAUCACACGGUGUUCAAAUCCGGACUGUUUUAUCACUCUUUUUAAUGAUGCAAUAGUAGCUGCUAAUCCCAAAAUUUACCAUGAUGAUAUCAACAUAAAGAAUGUGGGAGUUGUGGUCAUAAGAGUUGAUGAAUGAAGGGAAUACAGUGUUGAUGUUUGAACCCAAGUCUUCCAUUGGCAGUAAAGUUCCAAUCCUUGUACUUGAACCAUUUUUCUUCAAUUUGCAAUUAAUGCCACUUCUUUGCACCAACCACUUACCUCAAUAAGUGUUUUCUUUUACGCUCUUUGAUUUUGGUUUUAAUUUCCUUUAAUGUAUGAAUUGUUGCAGUGAAUUGGUGAAACAAUUUGGCUAUUGCCAAAAAUUCAUCUAUCUAUCCACGAGAAAGUGUGUUUAGUAUUGAAAAGCAA